rnacentral:tRNA from 1 species
GAUAAAAUGGCUGAAGAAAAUAGGCGGUAAAUUGUAAAUUUAUUUAUGAAAAAAAGUUUUCUUUUAUCA